GUUAUGGGCCUCACUUUUUUUUUUCUUUUAAAACGGGCUGGGCCUAACAGGAGCUGUGAAACUGAAGGCAUUUUUCUUAUAUUUUUCUUUUUCAGCUACAGAAGAACAUCAGUCUCCUCUGCCGAACUCGUGAUAACAUCCUCAAGAUUAUGAACGAGUUGAAUGACAUGCCUGAUGUAAUGAAGCAGAUGCCACCAUUGCCAUUCAAGUUGAAUGAAAAGCUAGCUAACACCAUGCUUCCCUAUCGUCCGAAUCUUCCAAUGAAAUGAUCAUGACCCUUCUCAGUCAGAUCAUCCAGCCUCCGAUCAACUAAUCUGUAGACGAUGGAACAGCCACCACCAGCCGGUUGACCUAUGAUUUUGCUUUGGAAAUGGCGUGUAGUUCAUCAUGCUAUAGAUUUUAGUAUUUUGUUUUUGCUGCCUUCAAUUACAGUUUGCUUAGAAGAAAUGGUUCAUUUCAUAUAGAAAGUUGGUUGAUUUUUUCAUUUAAUAUUUAGGGAAUGAAUAAUAAUGAGUAUAGCACAGUUUUAUUA